rnacentral:piRNA from 1 species
UUAAGAUGGAUUAUUGUGCUGCUUGC